CACUGCAAACACACACCAAAUACAAACAAAAAAAAAAAAAAAAAAAAAGUUAAAAGUACACAAAAAAUAAAAAUAAAAACAAGGUAGGUACAGUACAAGGUCCUGAAAACGGAAGUGGAUCCUAACUUUUAAUUACAAUGAUAAAGACUUUUCAGUUGGACUGUACAACUACAAAGGAAACAAAAACAAAACAUAGGUGUGUGUUGCCAAGCACCGAAACGGACGGCGGCUCAGCUUAUGCGGUGAUAGGGGUUUAUACCUACUACCGCGCUGAUUUUCAGCCGCUUCCCCUGUGAUGCCACUGACCUAAUAAAUAAAUUAAGUAUAUUUAUUAUAUGUGUGUGUACCUAUGCAUGUUCUGAUAGUGAGCGUACACCACGGCUGCCAUUGUGAACCCGAGGUUUGCAGGUACAUUCCAGUUCAAACCGGUUCGUGAUUUCAGUUCCCAGUCCCCGGGCACGCGGCUUUCAGGUACAGAUCACGCGACGCUGCCGCGCUGCACACUCACUACUACGUGCUAAAUUACAGAUUGAAUAAAGUAUGAAAUACGCUGUGAAAAAUGUGAAAUGUUAAACUUUAAUAAAUUAUACGUAAUAAGAAGUUAUGUGUAUGAGAAUGUAUGCUGCGAACAUAACGAACCACUACUAUGUAGUAGGUAAUUACACAAACAUGGAGGCAUGUUGUUUGAAAAUUCUGUCUGCACGUCGCGAAUAACACUGUUGUCGCGCAGACUAGGAUCUAACCUAUUCCAACAAUGAGUGGAGUUGAAGGAGAACGAGCCCAUGAAUGCUGCAGACUUGUGCUGUGGAGUCAGGAGCAAGUACGAGGACGCCCUGGUGCGGUGAGAGUUGAAGUCACGUGACCACCGUAACUUGUUAUACAAAUAUUCAGGCACCCUUUUUUGUAUGAUACCAUAUAGGAGGCAAGCAAAGUGGAGAUGCCGACGGCUUGCUAAUUUUAAAAUAUUCGACUUAUUUAUGUAAGGUGUCACGUGACAUCGUGCAGGGAUAUUGUGGCAGUACCGUGCGCAAGCAUUUUGAACACGCUGAAGGAGACGUUGCGUUUUGCCAUAGAGACAGGGG